AUUGACUAUACCCUUCCAGCAGCCAGGAGACACAGGCACUUUUGUAUAUGUGACUCACGUAGGUCAGGAUUCUAGAGCAAAAUGCAAGGUAGAAAAGGAGGAAAGUAUCUUACGGGACAAAGGCAGAAAUUCAGCACAGAGGGGAAAAUCUGUGAUGUCCUGGACAUCGGCCCCAAAGCCAUGCCCUACUUUUCCUCUCCAGAGCUCCAUUUCAACUCAGGAUUUCGAAGCUGGAAUGUGGCUGGGAUUUGGCAAAAGCAGUGAAAAGGGAUCUAAUCUGGGUACGAGUGUCUGCGUUCCUGACACCAAGACCCCUGAAAUCAGGCAAACUCUCUAACCCCAUCCCCAUACACCCUGCCUUUUCUUGCCUUGGAUCUUCUGCCACAAUCAGGUACAAGGUCUCACGAAGGCUAGAAAGCCACUUCAUGUUCUGUGAACUCCUCUCAGUUUCCCAUGUGCUUAAUUUUGUCAAGCAGGUAACGGUAAAGUAUGCAGCCCAGAGUUCAUCUAUUACUAAGGAUCAAAAAUGUGGCAAAUGGUCUACCAACUAGAUGCCCAUCCAAAAGUUAAAAAUAUCAACCAAGCAUAAGGGUAGCACAGUGGAGGUUAGAAAAAAAUGCAACUUGGGCCCAACUCCUCGUUCGGCCAUGGAGAGCUGCAUAGCUUGGGAAAAUCAGUCUUGUUAUCUCAAGAGAGGGACCAGCACGCCCACAUUAGGACAGUGAAAUGAGAUGAAGCGAGCCUGUUUCCCAGACUUAGAGUAUAUCCAAAGACUGUCAUUCUUAAAGUCAUCGGUGUAUUGACACUAAGCAUCCAGCCUUGAAAAUACCUUGCCUCAGCUCAGACUUUAUUUUUUUUAUUUUAUUGCUCUGUGAUUAGGGACAAGCUUAUCACACUCUCUGUACCUUGGUUUUCUGAACUAUAAAACGGUGUAAUAGCAAUACCACAUAGGAUUGCUGAGAAGAUGGAAUGCAGUAAUAAAAUGAUUACCACAAUGAUGAUAAUGAUGAUU
rnacentral:lncRNA from 12 species